rnacentral:rRNA from 2 species
GUGAAUCAUCGAAUCUUUGAACGCACCUUGCGCUCCUUGGUAUUCCGAGGAGCAUGCCUGUUUGAGUGUCAUUAAUAUAUCAACUCCUUCAGCUUUUGUGUCUGUUGAGUGUUGGAUUGUGGGGGUUUUGCUGGCCUGAAAUUCAGAAGGUCUAGCUCUCCUGAAAUGUAUUAGCGGAACAAUUUGUUGAAUCGUUCAUUGGUGUGAUAACUAUCUACGCUAUUGAUCGUGAAGCAAGUUCAGCUUCUAACAGUCUAUUGACUUGGACAAAUUUUAUUUAAUGUGACCUCAAAUCAGGUAGGACUACCCGCUGAACUUAAGCAUAUCAAUAAGCGGAGG